rnacentral:rRNA from 1 species
AUAUUCUCUCUUGAGUGGAUCCUGAGUACGACGGAGCACGUGAAAUUCCGUCGGAAUCUGGGAGGACCAUCUCCUAAGGCUAAAUACUCUCUAGUGACCGAUAGUGAACCAGUACCGUGAGGGAAAGGUGAAAAGUACCCCGGAAGGGGAGUGAAAGAGAACUUGAAACCGUGUGCUUACAAGUAGUCAGAGCCCGUUAAUGGGUGAUGGCGUGCCUUUUGUAGAAUGAACCGGCGAGUUACGAUCUGAUGCAAGGUUAAGCAGGAGAUGUGGAGCCGUAGCGAAAGCGAGUCUGAAUAGGGCGUUGAGUAUUUGGUCGUAGACCCGAAACCAGGUGAUCUACCCAUGGUCAGGUUGAAGUUCAGGUAACACUGAAUGGAGGACCGAACCGACUUACGUUGAAAAGUGAGCGGAUGAACUGUGGGUAGCGGAGAAAUUCCAAUCGAACUUGGAGAUAGCUGGUUCUCUCCGAAAUAGCUUUAGGGCUAGCCUCAAGUGAUGAUUAUUGGAGGUAGAGCACUGUUUGGACGAGGGGCCCCUCUCGGGUUACCGAAUUCAGACAAACUCCGAAUGCCAAUUAAUUUAACUUGGGAGUCAGAACAUGGGUGAUAAGGUCCGUGUUCGAAAGGGAAACAGCCCAGACCACCAGCUAAGGUCCCAAAAUAUAUGUUAAGUGGAAAAGGAUGUGGCGUUGCCCAGACAACUAGGAUGUUGGCUUAGAAGCAGCCAUCAUUUAAAGAGUGCGUAAUAGCUCACUAGUCGAGUGACACUGCGCCGAAAAUGUACCGGGGCUAAACAUAUUACCGAAGCUGUGGAUUGUCCGUAGGACAAUGGUAGGAGAGCGUUCUAAGGGCGUUGAAGCAUGAUCGCAAGGACAUGUGGAGCGCUUAGAAGUGAGAAUGCCGGUGUGAGUAGCGAAAGACGGGUGAGAAUCCCGUCCACCGAUUGACUAAGGUUUCCAGAGGAAGGCUCGUCCGCUCUGGGUUAGUCGGGUCCUAAGCUGAGGCCGACAGGCGUAGGCGAUGGAUAACAGGUUGAUAUUCCUGUACCACCUAG